AAUAGAUACCCAGGUAGUCCACGCCGUAAACGAUGAGUGCUAAGUGUUAGAGGGUUUCCGCCCUUUAGUGCUGCAGCUAACGCAUUAAGCACUCCGCCUGGGGAGUACGGCCGCAAGGCUGAAACUCAAAGGAAUUGACGGGGGCCCGCACAAGCGGUGGAGCAUGUGGUUUAAUUCGAAGCAACGCGAAGAACCUUACCAGGUCUUGACAUCCUCUGCCAACCCUAGAGAUAGGGCGUUCCCCUUCGGGGGACAGAGUGACAGGUGGUGCAUGGUUGUCGUCAGCUCGUGUCGUGAGAUGUUGGGUUAAGUCCCGCAACGAGCGCAACCCUUGAUCUUAGUUGCCAGCAUUCAGUUGGGCACUCUAAGGUGACUGCCGGUGACAAACCGGAGGAAGGUGGGGAUGACGUCAAAUCAUCAUGCCCCUUAUGACUUGGGCUACACACGUGCUACAAUGGAUGGUACAAAGAGCUGCGAACCCGCGAGGGUAAGCGAAUCUCAUAAAGCCAUUCUCAGUUCGGAUUGU
rnacentral:rRNA from 1 species